GAUGAACGCUAGCUACAGGCUUAACACAUGCAAGUCGAGGGGUAACGAGAGGAAAGCUUGCUUUCCUUGUCGACGACCGGCGCACGGGUGAGUAACGCGUAUCCAACCUGCCCCCAACUAGGGAAUAACCUUGCGAAAGUAAGACUAAUACCCUAUAAUUUCCUCAGAUGUCAUCUGACGAGGAAUAAAGAUUUAUCGGUUGUGGAUGGGGAUGCGUCUGAUUAGCUUGUUGGCGGGGUAACGGCCCACCAAGGCAACGAUCAGUAGGGGUUCUGAGAGGAAGGUCCCCCAUAUUGGAACUGAGACACGGUCCAAACUCCUAUGGGAGGCAGCAGUGAGGAAUAUUGGUCAAUGGGCGGAAGCCUGAACCAGCCAAGUAGCGUGCAGGAUGACGGCCCUAUGGGUUGUAAACUGCUUUUAUACAGGAAUAAAGUUAGCCACGUGUGGUUAUUUGUAGGUACUGUAUGAAUAAGGACCGGCUAAUUCCGUGCCAGCCGCCGCGGUAA
rnacentral:rRNA from 1 species